CGCCUACUAUCAGCAUGACAGCCAAAAGAAAGCGCAAGCGCAAAUGGUAGUGUAUGGGCCUAGCGGGAUUUGAAGGUGAAGAUGAGAUGUUCAUAUGCUCGGGAUUGACAUGCAAAUAAACCCAUGUUCUUUUGCUUAUUAAUUGAAGCUCUAAUCCCGUUUUCUCUAUCUUCAGAAGCCUGUCCUUGGAAAGCAAGAGGUACUAAGUUCAACUACAAAGAAUAACAGAUGGAAACUGAGCACGGAGAGAUUCAACCUAGGAAUAAGGAGAUUUUUUCUGGCAGAACAAUCAACCAAUGGAACAGAUUGCCUUCAAAAGUUGUGGGAGCUUCAUCACUAGAAGCUUUCAAGAAGAGACUGGACUGCCAUCUGUAGAAUUGAUGGUUGCUGAUACUGGUGAAACUAAAAGAAUUCCAUUGGCAUCCCUUCAGGCUAAGUUCCAGUUAAUUUGCAAAAGGCUUAAAUAGCUGUGAAGGUUCUCGAGAUCCUAAGAGUAGUUACCUGCACGUCUAUCAACACUCAUGAACUGUCAAUAUGCUUCCAUUAAUGACACAAAGCAGCCAUAUGUGGGACUGACCUCUGUUACCCCCUCACAACCCAGCCAGGAGUUCAAGUGGCUUACAAAAGCAUGCUGUGGUUUGAAUGUAAGCAGUGAGUGAAAGCAGCAGCUGGCAAACAAUAUAAAAGUUUGAAAUGACUGCUCAGCAUCAAGAUAGACAUAAUUCUAACAUAAAUUAACAUUCUCUAUGGAAUCAGAGUGAAAUACAAAUCAACUUGAAAGAACAAUUAGAACUGUCUGUAAAAGUUAUCAGCUGUAUAAAUGACAUAGUGUUUAGUUAAUAAAAAUCUAUAGGACAUCACA